GAGAGUGUAGCUCAGUGGUAGAGCGCCCGCUUGGCAUGCACAAGGUCCUGGGUUCAAUCCCCAGCACCUCCA
rnacentral:tRNA from 1 species